rnacentral:ncRNA from 1 species
UUUUAUAAGAAUAUGAUGUUGGUUCAGAUUAAGCGCUAAAUAAGGACAUGACACAUGCGAAUCAUACGUUUAUUAUUGAUAAGAUAAUAAAUAUGUGGUGUAAACGUGAGUAAUUUUAUUAGGAAUUAAUGAACUAUAGAAUAAGCUAAAUACUUAAUAUAUUAUUAUAUAAAAAUAAUUUAUAUAAUAAAAAGGAUAUAUAUAUAAUAUAUAUUUAUCUAUAGUCAAGCCAAUAAUGGUUUAGGUAGUAGGUUUAUUAAGAGUUAAACCUAGCCAACGAUCCAUAAUCGAUAAUGAAAGUUAGAACGAUCACGUUGACUCUGAAAUAUAGUCAAUAUCUAUAAGAUACAGCAGUGAGGAAUAUUGGACAAUGAUCGAAAGAUUGAUCCAGUUACUUAUUAGGAUGAUAUAUAAAAAUAUUUUAUUUUAUUUAUAAAUAUUAAAUAUUUAUAAUAAUAAUAAUAUAUAUAUAUAUAAAUUGAUUAAAAAUAAAAUCCAUAAAUAAUUAAAAUAAUGAUAUUAAUUACCAUAUAUAUUUUUAUAUGGAUAUAUAUAUUAAUAAUAAAAUUAAUUUAUUAUUAUUAAUAAUAUAUUUUAAUAGUCCUGACUAAUAUUUGUGCCAGCAGUCGCGGUAACACAAAGAGGGCGAGCGUUAAUCAUAAUGGUUUAAAGGAUCCGUAGAAUGAAUUAUAUAUUAUAAUUUAGAGUUAAUAAAAUAUAAUUAAAGAAUUAUAAUAGUAAAGAUGAAAUAAUAAUAAUAAUUAUAAGACUAAUAUAUGUGAAAAUAUUAAUUAAAUAUUAACUGACAUUGAGGGAUUAAAACUAGAGUAGCGAAACGGAUUCGAUACCCGUGUAGUUCUAGUAGUAAACUAUGAAUACAAUUAUUUAUAAUAUAUAUUAUAUAUAAAUAAUAAAUGAAAAUGAAAGUAUUCCACCUGAAGAGUACGUUAGCAAUAAUGAAACUCAAAACAAUAGACGGUUACAGACUUAAGCAGUGGAGCAUGUUAUUUAAUUCGAUAAUCCACGACUAACCUUACCAUAUUUUGAAUAUUAUAAUAAUUAUUAUAAUUAUUAUAUUACAGGCGUUACAUUGUUGUCUUUAGUUCGUGCUGCAAAGUUUUAGAUUAAGUUCAUAAACGAACAAAACUCCAUAUAUAUAAUUUUAAUUAUAUAUAAUUUUAUAUUAUUUAUUAAUAUAAAGAAAGGAAUUAAGACAAAUCAUAAUGAUCCUUAUAAUAUGGGUAAUAGACGUGCUAUAAUAAAAUGAUAAUAAAAUUAUAUAAAAUAUAUUUAAUUAUAUUUAAUUAAUAAUAUAAAACAUUUUAAUUUUUAAUAUAUUUUUUUAUUAUAUAUUAAUAUGAAUUAUAAUCUGAAAUUCGAUUAUAUGAAAAAAGAAUUGCUAGUAAUACGUAAAUUAGUAUGUUACGGUGAAUAUUCUAACUGUUUCGCACUAAUCACUCAUCACGCGUUGAAACAUAUUAUUAUCUUAUUAUUUAUAUAAUAUUUUUUAAUAAAUAUUAAUAAUUAUUAAUUUAUAUUUAUUUAUAUCAGAAAUAAUAUGAAUUAAUGCGAAGUUGAAAUACAGUUACCGUAGGGGAACCUGCGGUGGGCUUAUAAAUAUC